AACAACGCAAGUGUGAAAGAUCCUUUAGCGGUAGGACCCACGCCACACUGAGACACCUUGACGGGGUGCGCUGGGCUCCAAUAUGUUCCUGACUGGAAUAUAUUGGCUAAAGUCUCAGCUUUUAACAUCAG